UACGAAGGGUGCAAACGUUGCUCGGAAUUAUUGGGCGUAAAGCGCACGUAGGCGGCUUAGCAAGUCGGAAGUGAAAUCCCUCGGCUCAACCAAGGAAGUGCUUUCGAAACUGCUGAGCUUGAGUACGAAAGAGGAUCGCGGAAUUCCCGGUGUAGAGGUGAAAUUCGUAGAUAUCGGGAGGAACACCAGUGGCGAAGGCGGCAUCCUGGACCGAUAUUGACGCUGAGGAGCGAAAGCCAGGGGAGCAAACGGG
rnacentral:rRNA from 1 species